GACGAACGCUGGCGGCGUGCUUAACACAUGCAAGUCGAACGGAAAGGCCCUGCUUUUGUGGGGUGCUCGAGUGGCGAACGGGUGAGUAACACGUGAGUAACCUGCCCUUGACUUUGGGAUAACUUCAGGAAACUGGGGCUAAUACCGGAUAGGAGCUCCUGCUGCAUGGUGGGGGUUGGAAAGUUUCGGCGGUUGGGGAUGGACUCGCGGCUUAUCAGCUUGUUGGUGGGGUAGUGGCUUACCAAGGCUUUGACGGGUAGCCGGCCUGAGAGGGUGACCGGCGACAUUGGGACUGCGAUACGGCCCAGACUCCUACGGGAGGCAGCAGUGGGGAAUAUUGCACAGUGGGCGGAAGCCUGAUGAAGCAACGCCGCGUGCGGGAUGACGGCCUUCGGGUUGUAAACCGCUUUCGCCUGUGACGAAGCGUGAGUGACGGUAAUGGGUAAAGAAGCACCGGCUAACUACGUG
rnacentral:rRNA from 1 species